rnacentral:rRNA from 1 species
CAGCAGCCGCGGUAAUACCGGCGGCCCGAGUGGCGGUCACUAUUAUUGGGCUUAAAGCGUCCGUAGCCGGGUUGGGAAGUCCUCCGGGAAAUCUGGCCGCUUAACGGUCAGAAUGCCGGAGGAUACUCCCAGCCUAGGGAGCGGGAGAGGCCGAGGGGAUUCCCGGAGUAGGGGGGAAAUCCUAUAAUCCCGGGAGGACCACCUGUGGCGAAGGCGCUCGGCUGGAACGCGUCCGACGGUGAGGGACGAAGGCCAGGGGAGCAAACCGGAUUAGAUACCCGGGUAGUCCUGGCGGUAAACGAUGCGGACUUUGUGUCGGACAAGCUAUGAGCUUGUCCGGUGCCGGAGGGAAACCGUUAAGUCCGCCGCCUGGGGAGUACGGCCGCAAGGCUGAAACUUAAAGGAAUUGGCGGG